rnacentral:rRNA from 1 species
UACAGGGGGUGCAACCGUUGCUCGGAAUCAUUGGGCGUAAAGCGCACGUAGGCGGUUUGUUAUGUCGGAUGUGAAAGCCCUUGGCUCAACUGAGGAAGUGCAUCCGAAACUGGCAAGCUAGAGUACUAAAGAGGAUCGCGGAAUUCCCGGUGUAGAGGUGAAAUUCGUAGAUAUCGGGAGGAACACCGGUGGCGAAGGCGGCGAUCUGGGUAGAUACUGACGCUGAGGUGCGAAAGCGUGGGGAGCGAACAGG